CACGAACGCUGGCGGCAGGCCUAACACAUGCAAGUCGAACGCCCUAGCAAUAGGGAGUGGCAGACGGGUGAGUAACGCGUGGGAACCUUCCCAUUGGUACGGAAUAGCCCAGGGAAACUUGGAGUAAUACCGUAUAAGCCCGAAAGGGGAAAGAUUUAUCGCCGAUGGAUGGGCCCGCGUAGGAUUAGCUAGUUGGUGAGGUAAUGGCUCACCAAGGCGACGAUCCUUAGCUGGUCUGAGAGGACGAUCAGCCACACUGGGACUGAGACACGGCCCAGACUCCUACGGGAGGCAGCAGUGGGGAAUAUUGGACAAUGGGCGCAAGCCUGAUCCAGCCAUGCCGCGUGAGUGACGAAGGCCUUAGGGUUGUAAAGCUCUUUUGGCGGGGACGAUAAUGACGGUACCCGCAGAAUAAGCCCCGGCUAACUUCGUGCCAGCAGCCGCGGUAACAC
rnacentral:rRNA from 1 species